UACGUAGGGUGCGAGCGUUGCCCGGAUUUAUUGGGCGUAAAGAGCUCGUAGGCGGUUCGUCGCGUCGGCUGUGAAAUCCCGAGGCUCAACCUCGGGUCUGCAGUCGAUACGGGCGGACUGGAGUUCGGCAGGGGAGACUGGAAUUCCUGGUGUAGCGGUGAAAUGCGCAGAUAUCAGGAGGAACACCGGUGGCGAAGGCGGGUCUCUGGGCCGAUACUGACGCUGAGGAGCGAAAGCGUGGGGAGCGAACAGG
rnacentral:rRNA from 1 species